AACCGUUUAGGGGUAAACCUGAGAAACCCGAAAGGUCGAAGGAGGAAAUUCAUUCGUGUAUCGCCAUUGACUGGAUUGUGUAUGUUUGACAAUGGGUAAGUCGAAUCAGCUAUUUGUUGAUUUUUGAUUUAUGAACUGCUACAUAUCUUUUUUUGUGUCGGAUGGUGAACACGUGCAUUUUUCCUCUGGUAGGACGUUGCGAUCCGUUAGAAUUUUAUAUCGAUCUAUGAUGUUUUAUGGUAUAGUUCAUUGAUACAUUUAUAAAUAUUUUAUAAAUGCUAUUAUUGGUGAAACCGUACAUUCUGAUCGAUUUACCUGACGGUAAAUUAAUGGUUAAAAGUCGCUAACAAUUAUUUAGCGUUAGAGGUUGGACAAGUGUAGGAAUUGUGUAAUGGCACUGUUAUUAUUCAAAUAAUAUUUGGUAGUGAUUGUGUUCUCGGUAAUCGGUAUUUUGUAUCAAUUCCGGGCCGUUCUUAUACUGUUAGUCCGACGUAUCUCUAACAGACUUCCUUAUUUUCAUAAUAAAACCAAUCAGCAACGCUAUAGCUUUGGGUACUUUCAGGA
rnacentral:rRNA from 1 species